rnacentral:rRNA from 1 species
ACGAACGCUGGCGGCGUGCUUAACACAUGCAAGUCGAGCGGAAAGGCCCUGCUUUUGUGGGGUGCUCGAGUGGCGAACGGGUGAGUAACACGUGAGUAACCUGCCCUUGACUUUGGGAUAACUUCAGGAAACUGGGGCUAAUACCGGAUAGGAGCUCCUGCUGCCUGGUGGGGGUUGGAAAGUUUCGGCGGUUGGGGAUGGACUCGCGGCUUAUCAGCUUGUUGGUGGGGUAGUGGCUUACCAAGGCUUUGACGGGUAGCCGGCCUGAGAGGGUGACCGGCCACAUUGGGACUGAGAUACGGCCCAGACUCCUACGGGAGGCAGCAGUGGGGAAUAUUGCACAAUGGGCGGAAGCCUGAUGCAGCAACGCCGCGUGCGGGAUGACGGCCUUCGGGUUGUAAACCGCUUUCGCCUGUGACGAAGCGUGAGUGACGGUAAUGGGUAAAGAAGCACCGGCUAACUACGUG